rfam:Myotis lucifugus cont2.19774, whole genome shotgun sequence.
AAUGCACCGGUGGGGUCCCUCGGCCUGGCCUGCGGGGAUUGGCUCUCCGACAUCUCCUGAGGGCGCAGGCCAGGCCGAGGGACCCCGCUGGUGCACG